rnacentral:lncRNA from 1 species
AAAGAUUCAAAAAUGACGAACAUUUUUUGAUAAUGUCGGACAUCUUUCUAGAAUCCCGAACAUUUUUUGAAUCUAGGAAUGUCUAUGAAAAACGGCAAAUAUUUGAAAUUUUGAACAUUUUAAUAAAAUCAAGAACAUUUUCUGAAUUGCAGUAUUUUUUUUCAAGCAUGAACUUAGGUUAGAAAAAUAACCAUAGAAAAAAGGAUAAAGAGAAACAGAAGAAGAAAACGAAAAAGGAAAAAAAGGGAAAAACA